UCUUGAGCAAUCGAUCGACCU
rnacentral:snRNA from 1 species